UUCUGGAACACCCCACUUGGUGAAGCAGGCUUUUGUUUGAGAUGACAUCGGGAAUGAAGGCAGGUUAUCAUUGCCGUACCCAGUGAUCUGAGAGAGCAAACCGAAGAGCUCCGUGAGAUGAGGAGAGCAGCCUAAGCGUAAAGACGUCACAAUGCUGCAGACGGACAAUUCGCCCCUGUUGGAGGAGCGAGGACUUUGUGACUGUGGCGGACGACUCUGCUGUCUGUUGUCCUGAGUCUUUGCCUGCUUCAGAGAGUUCUGACAGGAGGAAGAUGCAAACACCACCCUCAGUGCUGAGUGGCGUGGCUGGUUGGGCCGCUCAACAGACAAGAUACUCAAAGGUCUUCCUGCCCCUUAGUGCCCUGCAAGUGCCUCCAACACACACUGCGCUUCCAUUUCCUCGCCAGCAAUGCAAGGAGGGAUAAUGGCGACGAGUUU